GAUCCUGGCUCAGAACGAACGCUGGCGGCGUGCCUAACACAUGCAAGUCGAGCGGGAUGGGGGUAGGCGAUGAGUCUAUCAUCAGUUUAGCGGCGGACGGUUGAGUAACGCGUGGAUAACCUACCCGUGAGACCGGGAUAACCCUGGGAAACUGGGGCUAAUACCGGAUAUACUCCUGCUGGGGCAUCCUGGUGGGAGGAAAGGUGCCGUUUUAUGUGCCGCUUGCGGAUGGUCCCGCGUCCCAUUAUCUAGAUGGUGGGGAAACCGCCUACCAUGUCAACCAUGGGUAUCCGAUCUGAGAGGCUGGCCGGCCACUCUGGGACUGACACACGCCCCACACUCCUACGGGAGGCAGCAGUGGGAAAUAUUGGGCAGUGCGCGAAAGCCUGACCCAGCCACGCCGCGUGGGAGAAGAACGUCUUCGGGUUGUAAACCUCUCUUGCAGGAAAAAACACACGACGGUACCCUGCGAAUAGGCCACGACUAACUCUGUGCCAGCAGCCGCGGUUAGAUCGAUGUGGCAAGCGUUGCUCGUAUUCACUGGGC
rnacentral:rRNA from 1 species